rnacentral:ribozyme from 1 species
UGAAUUACACUUCACUGGCAUGAGCUUGAAUCGGAAGACUCUUAAUGGAUAGUGGAGAAUCUUCAUACCCUACUCCUACUCAAUAUGUCUAGAAAGCGUAGAGAACGUAGGAUGUCUCUCCAACUAUCUGAGGUGGAAUAUGCAGAGAAGUCCAACCCCUUGGAAGAAUAGGUAUUAUUGCUAAUUAGAUUGGA